GCCUAAACUUGAAAAACAUGAUAUUCCAAUUGUUGUUGGAGUUGGUGUGUCACUCACUUUCAUCUUCAUUGCCAUGGCAUUCUACUCGCUGGUGCAGAAAAAUGACCCAACUCCUGCGGGACGUGCAGCUCAGAGAAACCUGGGUGCACCAUGCAGGCGCAGUGGCCGUCCAGAGACAGGACGGACAUAUGAGAACAGGGCUUUUGAAGAUGAUGACUUAAUUGCAGUUGUUGAGCAAAGUCCAAGUGUAGUGGAAACACGGGUCCCUACUCCUAC
rnacentral:lncRNA from 1 species